GCCCUUCCAGAUGAGGAAAGCAGAGGGAAAACAGAAGAGGCAGGAAGAAGGAGCACGAUGCACGAAGAGGCGUGGAGAGAUGUUAAGGUUGGAAAAGGGAGGGGAAAGAGCGGCCGUGGUGGAUGAGAGGGUGGCGCUACAGCCGACGCCCGGCAGAACUGUACACUACCUGUGCACAGCUCCUCACAAGUAGGGAUGGAAUAUAUGGGGAGAGCGUGUUUCUGCAGGUGUGUCCCGGACAGAGUGCCACUGUUGCGUGUGUGUGUAUAACGGCCUCCACCAGCUACAAGCCAGGCUUUCGUUGGCCACCGCUUGUACGCUUGGCGGCGCUGAUCUGUUUGUGCAGACAGAAAUACCUCAACAACUACUGGAUGGUCUGCUGAGAUCUUCAGUUUAGGCCCCGUCGACGCUGAAAGCUCCUCGCUUGGUCGAUAGGUUUGUCUAGUGACAGCAGCCCAUCAUGGUUUGUCAUGAGGAUGACUCUAAUAGUGCUGCCGUGACCACUCUGGGUGGAAACCGCAGCUGAAUAGGAGACUGUGGUGAGGAAAGCAGCUGCCCUGAUCCGCUCUUUGAUUCCAGUUCGCUCUGGACACUUUCAGGCCAACUGCUGCAAAACACCCACCAGCAAAAAUAGCCUGGAGAGAGAUGUAAUCACACUACAAUCUGCGCCGGAGAAGAGAAAACACGUAAAUCAAGACUGUACAUUUAAAGGCGUUUCAAGUUGUUUUAUUGUCUUUUAUUGUACAAAGAAUCUCACAAAAAUAUUAAGAAACUGUUGCAGAGAUCACGGACGCCAUGAAGCACAGGAUAUCACAUGACCAGAACAGUGCCACAGAACGGAGAACGACUGAGAGGGGGACAGAGAGGAAAAGUGAAGAUAUAAAGACUCUCUGAACGCUAAACACUUCCUCAAGAGUUUCCUCUGUCUACAUCCUCUUACUGCCGUGAUUAAACACUGGCAGCGUGAAAAGCUCUCCCUCCGCUGACGGCUUUUCAGAUCCUUUGGGUGCUGGCAGUUUAGGUUUAUUUCUUCAGUUUGUGAGAAAACUGUUAAGCCUUGUUCCUCGGUCAUAAAUGCACUCAUGCCUUGCUGAAGGGCCUCCUGGCGAUCGCCAAGCAUCCGUCCUCUCUCUAUAUGCAGUGAAAGUAUAAAAAUAUACACAGUAUUUACAAAAUAAACUAGUUGUGACUUUGCGUUAUUCUUCUUUUGGGAUCUUUCUUUUUCUGGGGUAUGAUUUAGAAUAUUUAAAAAAACCUUCAG